UAGCAGUUAUACUACUGUAAUACUAACAUGAUAUACUAGUAUAGUAGGAGAGGGGUGGUAAUACUUUAUAGCGGUUAUACUACUAUAAUACUAACAUGAUAUACUAGUAUAGCAGGAGAGAGGUGGUAAUACUUUAUAGCAGUUAUACUACUGUAAUACUAAGAUGAUAUACUAGUAUAGUAGGAGAGGGGUGGUAAUACUUUAUUGCAGUUAUUCUACUGUAAUACUAACAUGAUAUACUAGUAUAGUAGGAGAGGGGUGGUAAUACUUUAUAGCAGUUAUACUACUGUAAUACUAAGAUGAUAUACUAGGAUAGCAGGAGAGGAGGAGGAGGAGAGAGGCGAUGGCGGACACCAUUGACAUCAACUUCCAGAGCGACCUGAUGGCCAUCUUUGAAGAGAACCUGUUCUGAGAGAGAGAUUGAGAAAGGAGGAGAGGGAGACAAAUGAACUCUACCUUAUCCCACCGGGGAUUUCACACACAACACCCCCCACUUUGAUUAGAGACCUCAGACCAGGAUGUGAGCUCCAGAGACUUGACGGAGACUGAGGUGAGGUACAGUAAUAAGGUGGAGCCCCCCCAGCGGUGGGGACCGGGAGUACAACUUCCUCUUUUUGCAAUUUCAGAUGCGUUUUUUGUGUCUAACUGCCCGUUUAUCGUUGAUGAUUGGUUGUUGCCGUGGGCAACGGUGAAACCGGACACCUAUCGAUAAACAGAUAUUUGAACUCCUCUUGUAUUCUGAAAGGAAACCGAGGGAGGAGGGGAGGACUGAUAACUAUUACCUGAAAAUAAAGAAGAGGGGAAAAAAGAGGGUUUAAUGGUAGAAAGAAGAUGAUGAUCACCUUGUGUUCUUCUGACGUGAGAGAGAGGGAGGGAGGGAGGGGCGGGCGAACGAGAGGACGGACAGACUUCUUUCUCUUUGAUUCAUUUCUCUCUUAAUCUACUAUUUUUCUCACCCUGUUUUCUGAUGUUGGGUUUUAAGCGGGGUGGGUGAGGGGUUGGGGAGGAGAUGGGGAGGAGGUUGGGGAGGGGUUGGGGAAGAGGUUAGGGAGGGAGAAGUGAGCGGGCUGUGUGCGUUAUCAUGUUUGCGUCCCAAAAGGACACCCUAUUCCCUUCAUAUAGUGCACUACUUGUGUCCAGGGCCCAUGGGGAUCUGAUCAAAGGUGGUACACUAUAUAGGGAGUAGAGUGCCAUUUGGGACAUAUCCCCCUGAGAUGGGUUCAGUUUCUCUCCGGACAGCGGGAUGAACACCGGGGUCACACCCCAACACUAUAAAGAGGCACCCUUCCUUCCUUCUCACUCUCCUUGGUCUUUGUGACAUCACUGACUUGACACAAGUUGAAAGUGUAAAAGCUUGAACUCCAUUUUUUUCAGUCGUGUCUGAUUCAUUGAUUAUUUCAAGAAAGGAGGGAGAGAGGGAAGAAAGGAGGGAGAGAGGGAAGAAAGGAGGGAGAGAGGGAAGAAAGGAGGGAGAGAGGGAAGAAAGGAGGGAGAGAGGGAAGAAAGGAGGGAAAGCAGGAAGGAUGAGUGAAGAAAGGAGGGAGAGAGAGGAUGGAAGGGAGGGAGGGGUACAUUUUAAAGGUGUUGGAAUGUGGCUCUUGCCUUACAGCUCUGACCUGUAAAUGAACACACGCCACAGAUUAUACAUAUAUAUAUAUAUAUAAAUAGAUGCAUAAAUAUAUAUUAUAUACGAUGAAAAGUCCCUAAAAAUAAUUGGAUGAUGUUGUUGGGAGGGAGAAUGACUUAUCUGCCUUGUGCUCAAUUCCCUUUUGGUUUUUUAGAGAAGUGACUGUAAGAAAAACAACUUUUUUAUGAUGCUAUAAAAAAAUAGUUUGUCUUGUUCAUAACCUCCUUUCUCUCAUCCUGUUUUUCUCUGUAUCAAGUUCAGAUAUUCAAGAGUUUUAAAGGCCUCUGUUUUUAUUUAAAUAUCAAAUCAUUUCUGGGUAAUAAUUAGGUACGUUACUGUGAUUUGUUUUCAGUUGAAAUGGCCCAAAAUAAACAAAAAAUAGAUUCUUAGCAAAGAGCAAUUUCUCAAGCAAGAAUUUUGCUAGGACUGUCUGGGAGUGGUCUGAGUGGGGAGGUGGAAACUGAAAAGUAGCUGUUAAUGGCAGAGAGAUUUGGAACUCUUUCUUAUUGGUCGAUCAACUCCAGGCAGGCCAAAACUCCACCCAGCAAAACAGGCUGAUUUUCUUUUCAAACAGCUCCUACACUAAAAUGGUAUUAUCAUCAUUUUCACAAUUGAACAGUAUUAUUCCAGCCUUAUAGUGUGGAAAUAGAUAUAUAAACACAGGAAAAUCACUCUUUUGAGGCACUGGCCUGUAACUACUUAACUUUGUUCUACUGUUCUGUAGCUACAUCCACCUGCUACUACACUUCCUCUCUUUUCUUCUUUAGCUUCUUACUCAUUUUCUUUUUUAUAUUCAUGUCCAUCUGUUAAUCUCUCUCUCCUGUCAUCAUCUUCUUCCUCUACCAUCUGUAUCAUAGCUUUUAUUGACUUGUUAUUCCCUUCCUGUUUUCUGGUUACAUUUUUCUGCUCUGUUUUUAGUUUCCGUGGUAACAGUCGGGGUUGUUGUCAUGUGCCAUAGCUCUAAGUGUUCUGGCUGCGUGGCCUGUGGUGUUGUCAUGUCCAGAUAUACAUCAAACCCCUGUAUUCUUUUUGGGAUGUUUUUUUAUUUCAUUUAGCCUUUCUUUUCAUAUUUGAUGGUUGUUUGUUUUUGUUUUGUUUCUUGUCAUUGUUUUGUUUUGAAUCACCGGUUGGUUUGUUGAUGAGUGAGGUGUUAAGGUCGAUGGAUACAUUCUGUUCUGAUUAUGGAGUAAAACAUCUUCUUCUUUUUUAAAGAAAAGUAUUAAAAUGAUAUAAAAAAUGA